UGGGGAAUCUUGGACAAUGGGCGCAAGCCUGAUCCAGCGACGCCGCGUGGGUGAUGAAGGCCCUCGGGUUGUAAAGCCCUUUCGCCGGGGACGAUGAUGACGGUACCCGGUAAAGAAGCACCGGCUAACUGCGUGCCAGCAGCGGCGGUAAGACGGAGGGUGCUAGCGAUGUUCGCAAUGACUGGGCGUAAAGGGCGCGUAGGCGGCUUGCCAAGUCGGGCGUGAAAGCCCAGGGCUCAAGCCUGGAACGGCGCCCGAAACUGGCAGGCUUGAGGCCGGAAGAGGGGAGUGGAAUACCCAGUGUAGAGGUGAAAUUCGUAGAUAUUGGGUGGAACACCGGUGGCGAAAGCGGCUCCCUGGUCCGGACCUGACGCUGAGGCGCGAAAGCGUGGGGAGCGAACAGGAUUAGAUACCCGCGUAGUCC
rnacentral:rRNA from 1 species